ensembl:lncRNA
GAAAAAAAGCUGAAAUGAGUGAGAAGGACGAUGAAGGAAACAUCUGUGCUGUGUCUGCUCUUUCUGAUCUCACUGCUGAGCUGCACAACAAACCAAGCUCGUCUGACUGUGAGUCCCAGCAGCUCUCAGUUCUUUAAGGAAGUCUUUGUGUCUCUGAGCUGUGAGGAGGACGACAGCUCUGCUGGAUGGACUCUGAGGAGAAACACAAGCAAACAACAGAGGACUCAGUGUGGAGAUGGGUGGGGAAGAGGGACCCGUUCUUCAUGUAACAUUAGUACACUAUUCACUUUGGACAGUGGAGUUUACUGGUGUGAGUCCAGAGAGGGUCCCAUCAGUAACAUGGUUAACCUGACAGUCACUGGU